rnacentral:rRNA from 1 species
UGGGGAAUUUUGGACAAUGGGGGAAACCCUGAUCCAGCCAUCCCGCGUGUGCGAUGAAGGCCUUCGGGUCGUAAAGCACUUUUGGCAGGAAAGAAACGUCAUGGGUUAAUACCCCGUGAAACUGACGGUACCUGCAGAAUAAGCACCGGCUAACUACGUGCCAGCAGCCGCGGUAAUACGUAGGGUGCAAGCGUUAAUCGGAAUUACUGGGCGUAAAGCGUGCGCAGGCGGUUCGGAAAGAAAGAUGUGAAAUCCCAGAGCUCAACUUUGGAACUGCAUUUUUAACUACCGGGCUAGAGUGUGUCAGAGGGAGGUGGAAUUCCGCGUGUAGCAGUGAAAUGCGUAGAUAUGCGGAGGAACACCGAUGGCGAAGGCAGCCUCCUGGGAUAACACUGACGCUCAUGCACGAAAGCGUGGGGAGCAAACAGG